CGGUUAUAAAUUUAUAUUUAUUUUUUGUCUAUACUUAUAAUUAGUUUUACCUCCAAUUUAUGUUAUUAUAAAAGAUACAUCUAUAUUGUUACUAUUACACUCGUAAAAUGACUGAAGAACACUAUACAGAUGUCGAUAUAUCGGAUAUUAUAGAUGACACGGAAACCGAUCAAUUCCUCGACAGUCAUCCACAAAACACAGAAACUAGCGAUAUUCUGAAUAGUAUACAAGACUCUGAACUGCUAAACUCGGAAGAUCAAGAGCCUGAGAAAAAACCACAAAACAAAAGUGAGGUUAUACGCUCGACGAGGCUGCCUAUGGCUCGCGUAAAGAAUAUCAUGAAAAUGGAUCCUGAUGUCAGUAUCGUAUCAAGUGAUGCUGUAUUCUUAGUUACCAAAGCUACAGAAUUAUUCUUGGAGACAAUAGCCAAAGAGACAUAUUCCUACACAUCCACAAAUAAGAGAAAAUUAAUAUCGAAAAAGGAUCUAGAUUUAAUCAUCAACAAAGUAGACUGUUUAUGCUUCUUAGAGGGUGCUAUGGACUUUUAAAAUAUAUCCAGUGAAAUAUUACUUAAAGUGUGACAAAAGAUUAAAAGCAAAUUCAAAUAAAAUAGAUUAAAAAUAAAUACAAACAUCAGUUUAGAAGUCCAAUUUAUUUAGCAUGGUCUUGAUUUUGAAAAAAAGGAAUCAGGACAAUUGAUUUUAUUUUUGAUGAGUCAAGAAAAUGAAAUAAAAUUCAAUAUCGAUAAAUGAAAAUAACCUCUCUAUUAUAGAGAAGAUUCAAUAUUUUUCUGUACAUUUGUUAAUCAGAAAUUACAAUUUUGAACUGUAUAUAUAACAAUUUAAAAGUUUCUAGUUUCUAAAAUAUUUUUCUAACAGGUACAGUGAACACAAAAAGUUUUGAUUAAUUAAAAUAGAAAUAAUUGUAAGUAUAAAUUAAGGAAA
rnacentral:misc_RNA from 1 species